CCUUCCUUGAGCAAGUUACUCCCACCUGCACAUCAGCUUGUUUUGAUAUCCAGUCAGAGAAGAUACUAGUUGGCUUGAGCUUCGCUAUGAAGACAUAAGAUAGCUAUUAAAUUUCUAUUUCUACAAAAUAUUGAGGACAAAAAUAUACCACUGAGGACUUCAGGCAAGGUCAGCAAGCUGCCCGUCUGCAAGGGCUCCCAGCAGAGCAGGAGAUGGCUGACGUGAAAGCCACCGCUCCGAGCUGCGCGGGGGUAGAGAGGACACCUGAAAGUGUUCUAACAGGAAAAAAGAAAGCUGGAAGGACCCAGAGGUUUACGUAAAUUGAAUAUAACCAUAUAAUGUUUGUGUCAUUUACGCAACAGACCGAGGAGCACCAGCUGGAACAGAGGGAAUGAGCGUGCUGCCAACCUCCUUCAGGAUGAACGCUCCUCCGAGUCCUUGUGGAUUCAGUAACUGUAGACAGGCACACCUUCAGAGUACCGAUUUCCAGAUUUUACUGCAUGAAGACACUAAAAUAAAAUCUGCAAGCAUUUGUCUCAAGUCAAAGGAAGUUGCAUAACUAAAAGAAAGGUUUAUUUUCUCUCUCAAAUUUUGGAGUACAGUUCUCAAGCCUGAAUUUUUAAGAAGCUCUUCUGAUCAGAUAUUAUUCAGGCUGCCUCCCUCAUUGACAUCAGCGAAGAAGUGAGAGAUGCCACGGGAGAUGCAGAAGAAAGCAGCGAUGUUCUGAUAUGCAUGUGGUCGCCCGGGGCCUGUUUUGCAGAGUCCCAUGGGUCUGAUCUGAAGACUAUUGAAAUCAAUGGAACAAUUCACAGUGCUUUCAGAGAAUACUGGAAAUGCAUUAAAAGCAUGUUGGGGCACAUUCAAGUCGAAGAUAUUUCCUGCAAAGUAAAGUUCAGCAAAAUAUCUGUGAAUGACAGAAGCCACUGUCAAAAAAUUUUACUUCAGAAAUUAAAUGUAAAG